CCGCCUGUGGCCUAGUGGGUAAGGUUACAGUCUUAGGAACACAAGGUCUUAGGUUAAAACCCAGCUAGGUGCG
rnacentral:tRNA from 1 species